AUGAAUAUUGCUCUCCUGACCCGUUGGCUGUGGCGGAUCGCCAAUGGCGAGGGCGGCCUAUGGUUGGACAUUAUCCGUUCCAAAUACCUUCGAGGCGAACCCCUUGCCUUCUGCCAGCGCAUGGGAGGAUCCCAGUUCUGGUAGGCCGUGGUCCAACUGAUGCCGGUCCUCCGCAUCGGCACGUCCAUCUCUGUGGGGUCUGGUGCCUCAACCUUGUUCUGGUUUGAUCAUCGGGUUGGUGAUCUUCCCCUGGCCGCUCGCUUCCCUGAGUUGUUCGCUAUCACGGCCGACCCUUGGGUCUCCGUGGAGGUGACCCUUAUUGACUUAGGGCACCUUGCGUUCUGUCGCCCUUUUGGCCCCCUUGAGGUCGCUGCAUGGGACGGCCUCCUCCAGGUCAUCGCCCUCCACCCCUCGAUGGACAACGCUGAGGAUUCCCUCUCAUGGCGACUUGAGCCUUCGGGCCGCUUCUCGACCAAGUCCCUUUGA
rnacentral:rRNA from 1 species